UACGUAGGGACCAAGCGUUUGUCCGGAAUCAUUGGGCGUAAAGAGCGUGUAGGCGGCCAGACAGGUCCGUUGUGAAAACUCGAGGCUCAACCUCGAGACGCCGAUGGAAACCGUCUGGCUAGAGUCCGGAAGAGGAGUGUGGAAUUCCGUGGUGUAGCGGUGAAAUGCGCAGAUAUCAGGAGGAACACCAAUGGCGAAGGCAGCACUCUGGGACGUGACUGACGCUGAGACGCGAAAGCGUGGGGAGCGAACAGG
rnacentral:rRNA from 1 species